rnacentral:rRNA from 1 species
UACGUAGGGUGCAAGCGUUAAUCGGAAUUACUGGGCGUAAAGCGUGCGCAGGCGGUUUUGUAAGUCAGAUGUGAAAUCCCCGGGCUUAACCUGGGAACUGCGUUUGAAACGACAAGGCUAGAGUGUGGCAGAGGGGGGUGGAAUUCCACGUGUAGCAGUGAAAUGCGUAGAGAUGUGGAGGAACACCGAUGGCGAAGGCAGCCCCCUGGGUUAACACUGACGCUCAGGCACGAAAGCGUGGGGAGCAAACAGG